rfam:Vibrio variabilis DNA, contig: contig00062, strain: JCM 19239.
CAUUGAAUGGACGCAAUAGUAACUAGGACGGUUACUACUAAGGAAAGACAAUGGACACCUCUGGAUGAGGCAAGGACUUAGCAUCAGGAUGAUGUCAGGGACACCGCUCAGGGAACAAGUGAAGUGCGCUAACGAGGAUUGUUAGCAGAUCAGGAUAAGAUCAUUAGGACACCGCUAGGAAGGCGACGAAAGGACUAAGCUGACGGAUUACAGCACACUAUCAUGGAUUAGAUGCAUGGAGCACUUUUAGUAGCCGGAUUGCUGCGAGUAAGACUAUAACCCCGAUGGGCGCAAGCUCGGGGUUUUUCUUUGU